rnacentral:rRNA from 1 species
GAUGAACGCUGGCGGCGUGCCUAAUACAUGCAAGUCGAGCGAAGCGGGGACGGUGGAGUAACACGUGGAAAACCUCCUUUACCACUGGGACAACUUCGGGAAACCGGAGCUAAACCGGCUACUUAUCGAUGGAUCCGCGGUGCAUUAGCUAGUUGGUAAGGUAACGGCUUAACAAGGCAACGAGGCAUAGCCGAACGGAGAGGGUGAAAGGCAACACUGGAACUGAGACACGGUCAAGACGCGUACGGGAGGCAGCAGUAGGGAAGCUUCCGAAAUGGGCGAAAGCCUGACGGAGCAACGCCGCGUGAGUGAAGAAGGUCUGCGGAUCGUAAAACUCGGUUAUUAGGGAAGCGGUACUUAAUCAGAAAGCCACGGCUAACUACGUGCCAGCAGCCGCGGUAAUAC